UUUGAUCCUGGCUCAGAUUGAACGCUGGCGGCAUGCCUUACACAUGCAAGUCGAACGGCAGCACGGGAGCAAUCCUGGUGGCGAGUGGCGAACGGGUGAGUAAUACAUCGGAACGUGCCCAAUCGUGGGGGAUAACGCAGCGAAAGCUGUGCUAAUACCGCAUAAGAUCUACGGAUGAAAGCAGGGGAUCGCAAGACCUUGCGCGAAUGGAGCGGCCGAUGGCAGAUUAGGUAGUUGGUGAGGUAAAGGCUCACCAAGCCUUCGAUCUGUAGCUGGUCUGAGAGGACGACCAGCCACACCGGGACUGAGACACGGCCCAGACUCCUACGGGAGGCAGCAGUGGGGAAUUUUGGACAAUGGGCGCAAGCCUGAUCCAGCCAUGCCGCGUGCAGGAUGAAGGCCUUCGGGUUGUAAACUGCUUUUGUACGGAACGAAACGGCUCUUUCUAAUAAAGAGGGCUAAUGACGGUACCGUAAGAAUAAGCACCGGCUAACUACGUGCCAGCAGCCGCGGUAAUACGUAGGGUGCAAGCGUUAAUCGGAAUUACUGGGCGUAAAGCGUGCGCAGGCGGUUAUGUAAGACAGUUGUGAAAUCCCCGGGCUCAACCUGGGAACUGCAUCUGUGACUGCAUAGCUAGAGUACGGUAGAGGGGGAUGGAAUUCCGCGUGUAGCAGUGAAAUGCGUAGAUAUGCGGAGGAACACCGAUGGCGAAGGCAAUCCCCUGGACCUGUACUGACGCUCAUGCACGAAAGCGUGGGGAGCAAACAGGAUUAGAUACCCUGGUAGUCCACGCCCUAAACGAUGUCAACUGGUUGUUGGGUCUUCACUGACUCAGUAACGAAGCUAACGCGUGAAGUUGACCGCCUGGGGAGUACGGCCGCAAGGUUGAAACUAAAAGGAAUUGACGGGGACCCGCACAAGCGGUGGAUGAUGUGGUUUAAUUCGAUGCAACGCGAAAAACCUUACCCACCUUUGACAUGUACGGAAUUUGCCAGAGAUGGCUUAGUGCUCGAAAGAGAGCCGUAACACAGGUGCUGCAUGGCUGUCGUCAGCUCGUGUCGUGAGAUGUUGGGUUAAGUCCCGCAACGAGCGCAACCCUUGUCAUUAGUUGCUACAUUCAGUUGGGCACUCUAGUGAGACUGCCGGUGACAAACCGGAGGAAGGUGGGGAUGACGUCAAGUCCUCAUGGCCCUUAUAGGUGGGGCUACACACGUCAUACAAUGGCUGGUACAAAGGGUUGCCAACCCGCGAGGGGGAGCUAAUCCCAUAAAACCAGUCGUAGUCCGGAUCGCAGUCUGCAACUCGACUGCGUGAAGUCGGAAUCGCUAGUAAUCGUGGAUCAGAAUGUCACGGUGAAUACGUUCCCGGGUCUUGUACACACCGCCCGUCACACCAUGGGAGCGGGUUCUGCCAGAAGUAGUUAGCCUAACCGCAAGGAGGGCGAUUACCACGGCAGGGUUCGUGACUGGGGUGAAGUCGUAACAAGGUA
rnacentral:rRNA from 1 species